AUAAUUUUGUUGUCUCUACUUCGACUCAACAUUGUACAGUUCAUCUUCUUCUUCUUCUUCUCUUCGUUUGCGUAUUCUUCGGCGAGGCUCUAAUUUUGGGUUUUCAAAACCCGAUGAUCAUCUCGAAUCGUUCAUAUUCUUCUAGGGUGUGUUUUGAAAGCAAGUUUAUUAUCUGAUCAUCGCUCCCCCGGCCUCUGGGGUUUGGGUUUCUAAAUUUGCAGCAGUGCCUUUGAUCUAUCGGUGAUGGCUUUGUGAUUGUGUUUCUUCCUCUGUUUUUUUUUUUGUUUGUUUUGGCUUAUUAACUAACUCGUUUCGUUUUCUUCCUCUUCUGUCUCUCGUUGGAAGCGUAUUUUGAAAUCUCAACUUCUUCUAGGGUUUUGAUCUCUACAUUGAUUUCUAUAUUCUAGGGUUUUUUUUUCCUUCACUCGAAUUCCUUUUAAUUUACUCAUAGUUCCUAUUAUUGUUAAUCCAGAUUGAUUCAUUGUGGAGCAUACCAUUAGUAUUGAUCGAUCGGCGAUUGAGGAAGAGGGAGAGGGUACUAAGAUCUCCCUGAUGGUUUGAUUGAGGAAGAGGGUACUAAGAUCUCUCCCUGAUGCUUUGAUUGAGGAUGAGGGUCUUCUUUUGGAAUUACUCAUCAUGAACAGGAAGCUUUGUCAUAGGAUGGAUCACACCCAGCAGCAAUAUGAAGUGGCCUCAAGGAUUUGUCUCUGAUGACUUGCUAAAGCGCAACUCAGAACCUAAUGAUUGACAAAGGUAGUCAAGUUGCGAAUUUAUACGUUCUGCAUUUGGAUAAAACCCUGGUUAACAACCCUUCUUGCUUAGCCCAGAGCAAGUGAUUCUACAGUUGAAAAAUUCAUAAAAACCAAUUUCUACAAUUGAAAAUUUCAAAAGC